rnacentral:lncRNA from 1 species
AAUUUCCUGUCUAAUUCAGAAAUUACCUAUUUGCAACUUGGAAUUUAGAGAGAGAGAGAGAGUGGUAGAUGAAACUUGUGUUUGAAUAACUUGCUGCUUUCUUCAUGGGAACUCACCAGCAAAAAGCAGGAUUCUCUAUCAUAAAAAAUACAUUUGCCCCUAAGAUAGAACCAGAUUUCAUACUUGAGUUCAUGUUUUCUGUUUUUAUACAUUAUUAAGGCAAUGUUUUAAACAAUGGAUUGUUAUGGUAAUAAAAAUCUGCACAGUAAAACUUCCUCUUUUCAGAUCUGUAGAACUGCUGGUGAAGCUUCCUUUAAUUGCAACAGCUAAUGGAAACCAGCAAGAUAGCCCUUCUGUGUGUGAAAUACCAAAUUCUUUCAAGUGUACUGCUAUUCUGUCAAAGGAAAUGCAUGCAGAUCAAGCCAAGUGUGCAUUAUCAUUGCCUUCUGGUACAAAUAGUCAAAAGUCAAUGGAAAUAGACCCAAUGGAAACAACCGUUGAGAAAAAUAUAUUUUUAAAAGGAAGGUCUUUCCAAUGUGGAGCUCCCAGCUCUUGAUAACCACAAUGCUUCCAUGAACUUCUCUAUACUGAAAAACUCUGAAAUCUGUGGGGAAAAUGCUCAUAAUAAAGCACUGGAUACUGGAAAAGCAGAAGAAAAACCAGAUCAUACUUCUAAAGAGACUUACAAAAAGACUCUGACACCUUGCCAUGGGAGUAUGGCUUUGCAAGAUCUGACAAAUACUAGUAUACGAUCCCACACUUCCUUACCUAAAUCCUCCAAAACCUUAGAAGAAAACUCAGCAGCACCAUCUAGACGAGGAAGAACCACUAUUUGCUACAAAGAACCCAAUCUAAACAGCAAAUUAAGGCGUGGGGAUCAGUUUACAGAUACACAAUUUCUGGAUUCCCCAGUCUAUAAAGUAAAAAACAAAAGAAGUUUUAAAAGUAAAUCAAAAUUUAUUUGAAGAAGAGAACUGCCUUGAUGAACAAUACUUCUAAAAUGGGUACAAUUAAAAAAAAAAAAAAAAUGUUUAGCAGUACAGAGUGCUUAUUGUUCUUUGAUUAGUAAAGGUCUUCCAAAGUGGAAUUUCCUGGAAAGGAGCCCCUAUACAAAGGACACAGGAUACUUUACUGAGGACGGCAAAUACAGGUUAGGCUCCACUCUUGUGUUUUGCAUUUCUGGUCAGUAAUUUAUAAUCUGUUUAAAGGGUUUGCAGCACUUCUUAAUUUGUAAGAAAAGUGUACAUUUUAAUGAGAAUUAAAAAUAAAU